rnacentral:rRNA from 1 species
AGUGAACGCUGGCGGUAGGCCUAACACAUGCAAGUCGAACGGCAGCACAGUAAGAGCUUGCUCUUACGGGUGGCGAGUGGCGGACGGGUGAGGAAUACAUCGGAAUCUACUUUUUCGUGGGGGAUAACGUAGGGAAACUUACGCUAAUACCGCAUACGACCUACGGGUGAAAGCAGGGGAUCUUCGGACCUUGCGCGAUUGAAUGAGCCGAUGUCGGAUUAGCUAGUUGGCGGGGUAAAGGCCCACCAAGGCGACGAUCCGUAGCUGGUCUGAGAGGAUGAUAGGCCACACUGGAACGGAGACGCGGCCAAGACCCCAAGGGGAGGCAGAAGGGGGGAAUUUUGAACAAGGGGCGCAAGCUGGACCCACCCAUACGGGGGGGGGGAAAACGGCUUUCGGUUGUAAAAGCCUUUUGGUGGGGAAAGAAAAGCAGGAGUUUAAUACCCCGCUGUUUUGACGGUACCAAAAAAAUAAGCACCGCCAAACUUGGUG